CCUACGGCAGUCAGAGUUGAGAUAAAGGUGCCACUGAGAGAGAAUACACGCAAAAUCCAGAUAACACAGAUCUGUGUUAAAAAAUUACACAGAUUGUGGAACAGUUCUGGCUUUCAAAAAUGUGUGAUAUUUUUACACAGAUCUGUGUAAAAAGUUACACAGAUUAUUGGUCAGUCUCCCUUUCAAAAUUUGGGUGAAAAAGAUAAGAUGGCGUUUUCCUGCAACAUUGACGGAACUUGAUUGUUUUGACAAAAUUGCUAAUAGUUCCAUCGUUAUUCAACUGGAAUCGGUCCCAUAGCAUAGAAAUUAUUUUAGGAUUACUCGGAAGGAUACACCUCCGUUCCCGUUGAUCGUCUUGCAUUCACACCGAUUCCGCUUGAAUACGCCAACUCGGAACAUCUCCGGACUGGAAAAUCUGGAUUUAAGGUCAGCUUCAUUGCCUCCCGUGGAAGCUGCUUGACGACUGGAAGACAUUUACCAGGUGUCUUUCGUGACGACGGUGAAGCACCCUUUAAAAUGAAUUUUAGUCUAUUUUGAAAGGGAAUGUAAUGUAUCAGAGAAACUUGAAGUAAUAAAUCAUGGCAUCAUGUUCCUUUUUCAUUAAAUUUUAAAUGAAUUCUUUGUUCAGAACAAGAAAUUAAUGCAAUUUUCUACCCAGAUUCUGUGUAAAAUAUUACCCAGAUAUGUGUAAAAUUUUACACAGAUUGCCGGUUCAAAAAUUACACAGAUUUGACAGACAACGGUUGUACACAGAUCUGUGUACAAGGCUUCUACACAGAUUCUGUGUAUUCCCAGUUUUGGGCGAUCUGUGUCAAAUUUUACACAGAUCUGUGUUAUAUGGAUUUUGCGUGUAAGCUACGCGGAGAGUUGAGUCAGGUGAGGGGUCCUGCAAUGGUUGAGUUGUCUAGUUUGAACUUUUGUGGAAAUCGAAAGCUUUAAAUUAAAUUCUACUAAUGAUGUUUUGUUACCAUCUAACAAAAUUCACCACUAAUUUGACAAAAUUUGGCGUGAAAUUGUUGAUUUUAAACCCUCUGACUCAAAGCAUUCAAACUAUUAUAUUUCACAACGGGUUAUCAGAUUAAACGUGAUUCAUUCUAGUAAUGCAAUUAGUUCUGUUUAAAAUGCAGCUCUGCCAUUGAGCCAUGAUUAUGAAACAGAAUGUUACUUUCUGGUGACGGCACUUGUGCGUAUUUGUUGGUGGCAUAACAAAUAGAUGUAAAUUAAAUUCAAUUAGUUGAUAAAAGUUA